UUUCCCGUGCAGGUGGUGCAGCCCCCGCCGUUUGCCUACCACGCGGUUCCCCUGCCGCCGGUACAGCCGCAGCUGGCGGUCCAGGUGCGCCCUGUGUGGGCGGGGAACUUCAAUGAAGAGUGGGGGUACCUCCAGAGCUUCGCCGCGCCCGCCCGCUAUGUCGCUGUCCACGUGCACUACCCGGGCCUCGUCCACGCCGCCGGACAGGACCUCAGCAGCCUGACGGUGGAGCACCGCUACGCGCUCAUGAAGGCCAACGUGGACGGCCUCAAGCCGCUCCAGGUCGGCAUCGCCGUCUGCGACCACCAAGGCCAGCAGGUCGCCUGGGAGUUCAGCCUCCGCGACUUUUCCCGCCUCGCCGACCCGCACGACGACAAGGCCCUCGACUACCUCGCCCGCCGCGGCCUCGACCUCGACACGCUCCGUAACCACGGCGUCGACGCCUACAUGCUCGGCGCGCUGCUCAUGGGCUCCGGCCUCAUCGGCGCCGGACACGGGCGGCCGCUGUCGUGGAUCACCCACGCCGGUGCCUACCACGUGGCGUAUCUCCUCAAGAUCGUCACGGGCGGCGCCCCGCUGCCGCACGACGUGGCCGGGUUCGUCGGCGCCAUGCGGUAUUACCUGGGCCAGCAGGUCUACGACGUUGCGACGAUGGCGGCCGGCUGCCCGGGCAUGCCGGUGGGGCUGGACAGCAUCGCCGCUAACCUGCGCAUCCAUCCGCCGUGGGGGAGCCCACGCCUCGCAGGCGCCGCCGGCGUGCGCGCGCUUCUGGCCUUCAGGAUUUUGAAGCAAGGGCAGUUGGGCGGCAACGUGGAGAGGUUCCGAGGCCUGCUCCAGGGACUGCAGCAUUAG
rnacentral:rRNA from 1 species